rnacentral:lncRNA from 1 species
GCAUUAGACUCUCCAUGGGCUCCAUAGACUCUCCUGUACCUUACGACUAGGCACAGGAGCGUUUCCCCGGUGAAAUGGAGAAGAGGACACUUGGUCUUUUCAACUUUACUAGGAGGGCUCCUUUCUUCCCAGUCCGUAAGGAGGGGUCUGACUUUCAUUUCCACCCCAGCAUUAUCACCUUAACUCUCAUUCCAGUCAAUCCCGAAACUCCGUUGCCCUACCCACUUCACCCUUCUUUUGUUUGUCCUGAUUUGAUUCCUGCGUUCUCACAGAGGGCUACCUGGACUUUGAACCUCCACCCCCCUUUCUACAUUCUUGCAUUCCAGAAACAUAUGAAGCUCAUUUCUGCCACCCUUCCUAGAAAACUGGUUCCUGACAGAGACAUGUGGAAAGGUAAGUAAGUCCCUGUCUUCAAGUUUUCCAACUGCUUUUUAAAAAAAAAAUUAAAGAAGGCUAGUUCCCUCCAUUUAAAAUAAUGUGAUUUCCAGAGGUUAUCACACUAGAUUAUUUUAACGAACACCAAAUGUAUUUUAAAGACGUGUCCAGUCUUUUAAAAAUUCAGACCUCAAUAAGCAUUCCUUGUGUGCCUCUCCAUGAUGCUUCAGCUUCUCUGUGUUAUUAUUUUUGUAUCACCUUAAUCCGAAAGAGAUUAUGACCUCUUAAACAACAGAUACUGUCUCACUUGCUUUGUAGAUCUGGGAAGCUGCCACAGUGCCAUAUGCACAGUCAAUGAUCAACAGUUUUUGUUGAUUUAAUUCUAUGGGUAGUCACUGGGAGAAUUCUUGACUUUCCUUGUUUCCAAUAAUCUGCCAAGAAUUUGAAACAGCGUAGUAAGAGAGAAAAAAUGAAACAACACCUUGUCAACUACAGAAUAGGGAAGCAAUUAACUUUUUACUCACCUGAAGAAUUUUAGGGUUUCCCGCCUGAUAAAACAUCUAGUUUCUUCCGCCACAUACAAAUGAGUUUGACUCAAUUUAAACAAAGUUUAAAAAGACCACCUAAAUCACUUUAUUCUUAGAAUAAUGUAAUUCUUUUAUUCAUUUGUACUGUGAACCAUGUUUUCACAGCCUUUGAGCUAAAGAGAUCUGUGUUUGAACUCUUGUUAUGCCACUAGCUUCGUAGAAAUUGACAGUUUACUUAACUUGUAUAAGCCUCAGUUUUAUCAUAUCUCAAAUGAGGAUGAUUCAUGGGAUUGUUAUCUGGAUUAAAUGAAAUGACAUAUGUAAAAUGCUUAGUACAGUAUCAGACACACAUUACUUUAAUCAAUAAAUAUUAAUUAUGCACUUUAUUAGCCAGCCUCCAGGAAGUUAGGGACAACAUCCACCAUCUCCUGGUUGGUCUAUGUAACCAACUUUUUCUUUCUCGAAUCACUCACUUUGGGGAAGCCAGCUGCCAUGUUGAGCAAAUCUAGAGCUCCACAUGCCAAAGAAUUGCAGACUGCUGACAACAACUAGCAAGGGACUGACGAUUCUUGGCAGUAGUCAUGUGAGUGAGCCAUCUUGGAAGCCAGUUCUCCAGCCCUUGUCAAGCCUUCAAGUGACUGCAGCACCAGCUGAUAGCUUGACUAAAACCUCAUGAUAGCCUCAGACUCAGGACCACUCAGCUAAGCUGCUCCCCACUCUUGCCCCUCAGAAAUUAUGUGAGACAGUAAAUGUUUGUUGCUUUAAGCUGCUAAGAUUUGGAGUAAUUUAUUACACAGCAACAAAUAACUAAUAAAGGUACAUACUAUGCACCAGGCAUUGUGCUAGAUACUAGAAAUGUAAGAAAAACAAGAUAGGUCUUAGCCUCAUGAAGCUUACUCUCUGAAGUUAGGAGAAUGAUAAAUACUUAGUGGUCUGUUGUUGCU